AUAAGACUUAAGUGUCUAUUCCUAACGCUGCAGGAGUAUGAAGCUUAUUCAUAGCUGAGAGCAUAGAGAGCAGCUCAGACAAACCCAGGCAGGAUCACUUCAGAAUGCCUUUUGGAAGAUGCUUUGCCAUACGCAGGAGUAUGAAGCUUAUCCAUAGCUGAGAGCAUAGAGAGCAGCUCAGACAAACCCAGGCAGGAUCGCCUUUUGGAAGAUGCUUUGCCAUACGCAGGAGUAUGAAGCUUAUCCAUAGCUGAGAGCAUAGAGAGCAGCUCAGACAAACCCAGGCAGGAUCACUUCAGAAUGACUUUUGGAAGAUGCUUUGCCAUACAGGGAGUGGCAGUCUUUAGAAGAGGGUUUCUGGAAGGAUCACAGAAAUGCGACCACAGAAGUGCAAAGUCUCCGGUCAUCAAGCUCUCAGAGUGUUCUCUGCAACAAUGUGACAGGGUAUAAUGAUUCUAUAAAUACUGAUCUCCAGCUCACCCAUCUGCCAAGGAAAUAUUUUCCCAGCAUCUGAAUUAAGUGGAGAACUGCUUAACUAAAGGACAGAUGAAGCAAAUCAUCCAUCUUCAGCGAUCACUCAUGGCUUUGUUCAUGAAUGGGGAAGGAGCAUUCAGCUAAAAAUGAGGCUCAGCAGAACACAUUCUCUGGGCAUGCUAGGAAUCCACAGCUCAUCGGUACAGAAAUAAAACAUGGCUGAUUUAUAUACAAACAAUGGUGACAGGAUUGUCACAGCACACAUGGUAACUUCGCUGGCUUGGAAAUCAUCCCAAAAUCAACUAACGAGCACUUCAAAAAGGAGGGCAAAAUGAGGCUCUCAUGUUGCUUGUGUGUGUGUCUUUCUUCAAAGUCAAGUGCCAGAUCUACUUAGAGCAGACGUUCUUAUGUUUUAAAAGCUGAUUUGGUUAAUUUACUGCUGCUAAAUGUAGAAUCAGAUAUUUUCCCUUUUAUAAUAAUAUAACUUAGGAUGCAAGAUUUUUUCCAUCUCAUUCUCAUUAACUAGAUCCCCAUAUUUAUAAACUGCCCCUCUUAUAUCUACUGAUCAGUUACAUCACAAAUAUUUUAUCUUACAGCAGAGCUAGCCCAAUGAACAAAAUAUUCUGAAAUAAAUGCAUUUGAAAAAUGAAACAACUUGAGCCAGUAUAGCAUCAUGUGUGUAGAUCAACAUGAAUUGUGUCAUUACAAACAACUCAAAGUUUAAGCUACAUUAAACUAUAAGAUCUCUACUGCCCAUUACAGCUCCUCCAGGCUAUGAUUUUGAAGAACUUAGCCCAAAGCAGAAGCUACAGAAAAAUUUGACUUUGAGAUUUUAUAAGACAAUAAAUUGAAAAUCUUUGGAAUAACAUAAUUUAUGAAACAAAACUGUUUUUUAACCCUCCACUCCCAUCACUUAUCUAUACAGAAUGCAGUCCAAAAUGGAAACAGAACUGAUGUUUUCUUUGGGAGACCAGAAUAAACAUUUAGUAAGAAUGGUGGGAAAAGGCUCUGGAUUAUUCAGUUCAUUAUUUAACACAUCUUGUGUCUUGUGCCCCUGUUAUGCAUUAGGCUCAGUGCAGGAUGCUAAGAAUAUAGGAGGAAGCAAUAGAGAAAUGAUUGUUCUUGUCUUCAUAGAGUUUAUAAUCUUGCAUGGGGGACAGUCAACAAACAAGUUAACAAAUACAUAAACUACGGACUCCUCUUUUUAGGAGAGAAAAGUAUUAUGUGUCAAGUAUACAAUAUAAUUUUUAGCUACACUAGGUAACUGUAUGAGAGAUUUUUCAUUUAUAAUACCAUUAUUUAUUGAACCCCCAAAUUCCUACAAACAAUGACAUACUUUAGUAAAAGAAGCAUAUUUGUCUAUGGAUAAUUUGUUUUUAGAUAAUCUUAUUGAAAGCCAAGAAAAACUGUACUUUGUAAAGUCUUCUUGGGUGGUAAAAGUUAAUAUGCUUUUCUAAUCAGUCUGCCCCAGGUUCCAGAGAUGAGUGUCCCAGGGAGCACAUGCCCCCACAUGCCUUCAAAGAUGAGGCAGGGACCCCACGGGGUCAGUUUGUGUAGAUAUGGUUUUGAGUAUCAUUGCUGUGAAAUAGCUGCAACCAACCAGCCAACCUUCAGCAGAAAGAAAGGACAACCAAGGCACAGGAAAAGGUCAAGUUCUUGAGACAGUCACCAGGCAAUGAAAGAAGACUGAAACAAAUACAUUCGGGGGAAAGAUUUGCAUAAACAUCAUGGUUUCAGCACAGAAAGGGGCCUUAAGAUGACUUCUGAUCUUCUUUACAAAAUCUUGAACAGUAGGAGCCCAUUUCAAGAAGAGUCCAGGCGUACGGCUUCACUGAUGUCUUGGGUUGAUCCCUAUCUCAUCAAUGUCAGGGGACAGCCUGAGUCCCGCACAGGGACUUCGGGGAAGCCUAGAGGAAAGGUGGCUGUGGGAGAAGGAGCUACAAACCUCCCUCCAGCUUUCUCCCUCAGAGUAAUUGUCUUACUUUUGUUCCCAUAAAAAUCUAGGCUCCUGAGGUUAUUCUCAAUGGAAAAUAUGGUGUAAGCGAAUACUCGGUAUGAAUUUCAAUGAAAUCAUGUUGUACUUCUGAUCUUACAGGGAAAUAUUAAGAUCCAUGUUACAUAGAAAUGCACUAGGCAUUGCUGUCUCCCCAUGAAACAUGACUUAAGCACAGGAUGUUUGGCAACAGCUUUAUAACAUAAGUCAAAAUAAAAUUGGUUUCCAUGCCUCCCAUAUAGUUACAUAAAAAUCAUAAGUGGCAGAAAUGUCCAUGUUUUACAUUUAUGCUUUAUGAAGUAUUUUGUGCUUUGUCCUAUUAUGUAACAACCCAGAAAGAAUAUAUGCACCGGUCAAUUUUUCUCCACUUCUGCAUACUUAUUUUGUACCCUUUAAAAUUAGAGUCCUGAUCAUGAAAAAGAUCCAAGCACAG
rnacentral:lncRNA from 1 species